GCUGGCGGCAGGCCUAACACAUGCAAGUCGAGCCGGAAACGACAACAUUGAAUCUUCGGAGGAUUUGUUGGGCGUCGAGCGGCGGACGGGUGAGUAAUGCCUAGGAAAUUGCCUUGAUGUGGGGGAUAACACAUUGGAAACGAUGGCUAAUACCGCAUAAUGCCUACGGGCCAAAGAGGGGGAUCUUCGGACCUCUCGCGUCAAGAUAUGCCUAGGUGGGAUUAGCUAGUUGGUGAGGUAAUGGCUCACCAAGGCGACGAUCCCUAGCUGGUCUGAGAGGAUGAUCAGCCACACUGGAACUGAGACACGGUCCAGACUCCUACGGGAGGCAGCAGUGGGGAAUAUUGCACAAUGGGCGAAAGCCUGAUGCAGCCAUGCCGCGUGUAUGAAGAAGGCCUUCGGGUUGUAAAGUACUUUCAGUUGUGAGGAAGGGGGUAACGUUAAUAGCGUUAUCUCUUGACGUUAGCAACAGAAGAAGCACCGGCUAACUCCGUGCCAGCAGCCGCGGUAAUACGGAGGGUGCGAGCGUUAAUCGGAAUUACUGGGCGUAAAGCGCAUGCAGGUGGUUCAUUAAGUCAGAUGUGAAAGCCCGGGGCUCAACCUCGGAACUGCAUUUGAAACUGGUGAACUAGAGUGCUGUAGAGGGGGGUAGAAU
rnacentral:rRNA from 1 species